rnacentral:lncRNA from 1 species
CUUUUGAGUCUGGAUGAGUUUGGUUCUGAUGUAUAUGAUCCUAAAAAUAUCUAAAUAACCAAUGUACAUAUUAUGAAAAACAAAUAUUAAUCUAUAAAAAUAUAAGUAUAGUGUUAUUUUAUUAAUUUCAUUAGUUAUAUUAUUUUAACAAUACAUCACAUCAUUAAUUAUAUUUACCGUAACAAUACAUCAAAUCAUUAAUUAUAAUAUACCAUAAAAGUAAU